rnacentral:tRNA from 1 species
GGGGGUACAGCUCAGUGGUGGAGUACAUACUUGGCGUGCUUCAGGUCCUGGGUUCAAUCCCUAGUGCCUCCG